rnacentral:tRNA from 1 species
GCAGUCGUGGGCGAGUGGUUAAGGCGUCUGACUCGAAAUCAGAUUCCCUCUGAGAGCGUAGGUUCGAGUCCUGCCGACUGCG